UAAGGAUCAAGAUUCUAGUUAUCCUCAUAGUCCAGAAGGUUGGACAAGAGGACCAGAAGUUCAAAGUCAUCUUCUGCUGCAUAAAUCUGAUGCUAAACUAGCUCCAUGAGACCUUGCCUCAGAACCCCAAAGAGACCUUUUCAACCUAGCUUCUUUGGGCCUAUAUGGUGGAGGUGGCCGCAACCAAGAGAAAACGAUAUAUAGAGAAUGGUGUUGGCUUUGUUCUGGCAAAACAGAGAUUCAGACAAAGGCCAGAAGAUAAUGGUGGUGCUCCUGAAUAGAGGCCCCCUGGUUCAAACUUCCAUCUACUGGAACAAGGUCAAUGAUCCUCCAGGGACUCUCAACUCCCUAUCUACGCACUCUCUACAGCAAAACAUCCUGUGCUUGGGAAAGUCUGAGCUGAACCCUAGCUCCUGUGGCUUCUGCUCAAUCUUAGUUCCUUGUUUGCAAGAAUGAGAGGCAAACAGCAAGCCUUGUGCAUCUUUGUAUAGAUAGAAAACAACCCUCCCAACCCCCCAUUUUACAGUAUUUGGGUUUGGCU
rnacentral:lncRNA from 1 species